CUCAUCCCUACUGUUUGUCUAAUGAGUCAACACUUCCUUUAUGAUGGAGCUAAUCGUCCGUUAACAACAUCUGACGUGCUUUCUGACGCCAUCCACUGGCACUUAGUACUCCUAACCCUCCAGAUGCACAGCGCUUUGCUUCCUGCACAGCAGGGAAGAGAACACUGUACGUUAUUAAUGCCAUUACCUGGAACUCACAACAUUGUACGUUAUUAAUGCCAUUACCUGGAACUCACAACACCUGUCACCCACAUCUAUUAUGCCAUCAUGGUUUUCCCUCCUAACCACUUGACUUUACCAGGAAAGACUUGUCUGGAUCCUAAUUCGACUCUAUUUAAUAGUUAGUUAUUGUAAACUGUUUUUCUUAUCCUCAUUCAUGUGAACACUCCCAUGCUCUUCUCUGCAUCAUCCUCUGUCAGAAUAAUGUGACAUCAUAAAGCCUUUCCAUCAUGUACCCACGGAGGAUGUGUUUCUGCAUCAUCCUCUGUCAGAAUAAUGUGACAUUAUAAAGCCUUUCCAUCAUGUACCCACGGAGGAUGUGUUUCUGCAUCAUCCUCUGUCAGAAUAAUGUGACAUCAUAAAGCCUUUCCAUCAUGUACCCACGGAGGAUGUGUUUCUGCAUCAUCCUCUGUCAGAAUAAUGUGACAUCAUAAAGCCUUUCCAUCAUGUACCCACGGAGGAUGUGUUUCUGCAUCAUAAAGCCUUUCCAUCAUGUACCCACGGAGGAUGUGUUUCUGCAUCAUAAAGCCUUUCCAUCAUGUACCCACGGAGGAUGUGUUUCUGCAUCAUAAAGCCUUUCCAUCAUGUACCCACGGAGGAUGUGUUUCUGCAUCAUAAAGCCUUUCCAUCAUGUACCCACGGAGGAUGUGUUUCUGCAUCAUAAAGCCUUUCCAUCAUGUCCCCACGGAGGAUGUGUUUCUGCAUCAUAAAGCCUUUCCAUCAUGUACCCACGGAGGAUGUGUUUCUGCAUCAUAAAGCCUUUCCAUCAUGUACCCACGGAGGAUGUGUUUCUGCAUCAUAAAGCCUGUUAUUUCCCCCUAGUAUUCAUGUAAAUGGCUGUGUGUGUGUGUGUGUGUGUGUGUGUGUGUGUGUGUGUGUGUGUGUGUGUGUGUGUGUGUGGGUGUGUGCGUGUGUGCGUGUGUGUGGUUGCGUGCGUGUGUGUGUGUGUGUGUGUGGUUGUGUGUGUGUGUGGUUCUGUGUGUGUGUGUGUGGUUGCGGAGGCUUUCUCCCUGAGCAGCGUUAAUGUUUAAUGGGAGCGGUAAAUGUGCGUCAGCAAGCGCCCUCCAGAGAGGAGAGUCCUUGGCACACACACACACACACACACACACACACACACACACACACACACACACACACACACACACACACACACACACACACACACACACACACACACACACACACACACACACACACACACACACACACACACACACACACACACACACAACCACACACACAACCACACACACACACACACACACAGCCACACACACACACACACACACAGUAGGCUCUGCCUUUGCUGUGAAGACUCACUGUAUUCUACCAAUGAAACACCAACAGGAAUAGAGUCUCUCUCUGCCUCGACAUGAUUUACAUGUCUGCUUGCUGUGUGGGGAAUGGGAGCUCCUAGUUGGUAGUGGACAUGUCUGCUUGCUGUGUGGGGAAUGGGAGCUCCUAGUAGGUAGUGGACAUGUCUGCUUGCUGUGUGGGGAAUGGGAGCUCCUAGUAGGUAGUGGACAUGUCUGCUUGCUGUGUGGGGAAUGGGAGCUCCUAGUAGGUAGUGGACAUGUCUGCUUGCUGUGUGGGGAAUGGGAGCUCCUAGUAGGUAGUGGACAUGUCUGCUUGCUGUGUGGGGAAUGGGAGCUCCUAGUAGGUAGUGGACAUGUCUGCUUGCUGUGUGGGGAAUGGGAGCUCCUAGUGGGUAGUGGACAUGUCUGCUUGCUGUGUGGGGAAUGGGAGCUCCUAGUAGGUAGUGGACAUGUCUGCUUGCUGUGUGGGGAAUGGGAGCUCCUAGUAGGUAGUGGACAUGUCUGCUUGCUGUGUGGGGAAUGGGAGCUCCUAGUAGGUAGUGGACAUGUCUGCUUGCUGUGUGGGGAAUGGGAGCUCCUAGUUGGUAGUGGACAUGUCUGCUUGCUGUGUGGGGAAUGGGAGCUCCUAGUUGGUAGUGGACAUGUCUGCUUGCUGUGUGGGGAAUGGGAGCUCCUAGUUGGUAGUGGACAUGUCUGCUUGCUGUGUGGGGAAUGGGAGCUCCUAGUGGGUAGUGGACAUGUCUGCUUGCUGUGUGGGGAAUG